rnacentral:lncRNA from 10 species
UGGGACAUGACCAGUCUAAGGGGGCUUCCAGCCUUGCAGAAAAGACACUGGGCCAGGGCAGUGAAGAAGGUGUCAGAUCAGAAAGGAUGAUCUCUGGGUCCACAACGGCCACUUCCAAGGCACCUAGAGAGGGGGAAACAGUUUGCCUUCCCCAGGAUUUUCUGAUUGUUGAAAAAUACCAUGAACUGCCUGACACAGAGCGGAGCAUAAAUCAUUGGAAAAUACUCAGAUUCUAGUGGAUUUACUAGAACACACUGGGAGUCAUGGAUGAACCUGGAUUUUAAAGCUCAACCCACAGCCCGCCACUCUCUACUUGUGUGGUCUUGGUCUAUCUACAACCUUAAAGCCUCAGUAUUCUCCUCCGUAAAUUGGCGGGGAGCAAUAUCACCCUUGCAGGGUGAUGGUUACGGCACAAUGAAGAUCUUGAAGGGCACACAGAGAGAGGGAAGGCAACAGAGGCAGGCUUUGUUGGACACCAAAUGAAUGUACUGAGCCAUUGUUCCAAGACAGCUCUGUAUUUUAAAGCUCAGCAUGGGCCAAAUUCAACCUCUGGAUGAAAUAUGUGAUUCUUGUGGCAUUGUCAGAAGUGGCAAAUGGAUUCUCUCCUCCUAAAUGUGGUGUGACUCUCCCAUCAACCACAGGUAGCAAGUAACGGCACACUUGCCACGACCUCUACUGUCUGCUUUCUGUAUCACUGCCUCAAUCAUGCCCCUCCUCUUGCCUUGUCUUGGUGAAGAGUGCCUGGCCAGCAGCCCUGCCUACCUCUCUCUUCUGGCCCUAGCGCCUUGCUCCAGCCCAUGUGGUUCCAGCAAGCUCCACUUCAAGGGGCCCACCCUCCAGGGCAUGUUCCAAGCAUCACCAACCAGAGGGCUUCUUCUCUGAGAAUUUAUACAUGGACCUUGAGGUCAGCAAGCAAGGAUGAUAUAAGCCAGAGUUCUCUGCAGCCAUCCCCUUUUCACCUCUCUCAGUUACGGAUGAACUUAUCUGUAAAAUGGGAAAAAGAAACGACAAGAGAAGCACAGCUGAGAGAAACACCAAAAGAAAGAGUUGAAGACAUUGUUUGAAUUCCUGCAUCCAGUAGUGCCCAAAGCCAGUGCCAACCCUGGAAUUCCUAGCUACAAGAGCCAAUGAAGUCCCUUUUGCUUUAGUUUGAGGUGGGCUCCUGUCACUUGCCACAGAAACUAGGAGAAAGCACAGUGUCUGUGCUGCAGUGAGAGAGGGCUAAAGUCCUCAGGGACAACCAAUAAAGCACGAGAGCCAAUGAAUAAAUACUUGAGGUGAGCAAUUACAGGAGGCAUUCUUUACAUUUCUUAGAGAGCCAAGCAAAAUUUAGCCCCAGUUGCCUGAAGUGGCCAUAUAUAUUAUUAUUAAUAAUGAAUAUAGUCAAUAACCUGUAGGCAGCUCAGAAAAAAUCUCAGUCA